rnacentral:rRNA from 1 species
AUCCGGUGACGGAUGGGCAUGCGUGACAUUAGCUAGUCGGCGGGGUAACGGCCCACCGAGGCGACGAUGUCUAGGGGUUCUGAGAGGAAGGUCCCCCACACUGGUACUGAGACACGGACCAGACUCCUACGGGAGGCAGCAGUGAGGAAUAUUGGUCAAUGGGCUUACGCCUGAACCAGCCAAGUCGCGUGAGGGAAGACUGCCCUAUGGGUUGUAAACCUCUUUUGUCAGGGAGCAACGCCGGCUACGUGUAGCCGGACUGAGAGUACCUGAAGAAAAAGCAUCGGCUAACUCCGUGCCAGCAGCCGCGGUAAUACGGAGGAUGCGAGCGUUAUCCGGAUUUAUUGGGUUUAAAGGGUGCGUAGGCGGAAUGCCAAGUCAGCGGUAAAAUCGCGGGGCUCAACCUCGCUCCGCCGUUGAAACUGGCGUUCUUGAGUGGGCGAGAAGUAUGCGGAAUGCGUGGUGUAGCGGUGAAAUGCAUAGAUAUCACGCAGAACUCCGAUUGCGAAGGCAGCAUACCGGCGCCCAACUGACGCUGAAGCACGAAAGCGUGGGUAUCGAACAGGAUUAGAUACCCUGGUAGUCCACGCAGUAAACGAUGAAUACUAGCUGUUCGGGGCAAAUGAGCCUUGAGUGGC